CGGUGAUCAAGCCUUUUGGUUUCUGCUUUGGCGAAUCCACCAGUCCUCAAAGGGAUAUGGGAGACCUGUUCCCCAAGUCACAUUUGCUGUGCAGACUCAAGAAAACAUUGUCAGAGGUAGACGGUAAAGGGGAAGAGUGACUUACCUGAACAAUCUGCAGGAAGUACUGAUAGUCGCACUGGAAUUCUCCAGAUGAAGUAGAAUAAAAUUAACUUUUUGGAAAUGGCUUGGACACAUGGCAAGGGAUUCUGAGUGUCUGAUGCCACAAGAAUCUGGAAUCUGAUCUUCAGAACUCAGAAUGACUCGCAGUUCAGAAGCGAUGGAGUCCCAGCAUGGCUUCUAAUGGACCCCAAGACAUUACUGGUCUGUCUGCCUUUCCCAACUUGGUAACAUCGGUCACCUCACGAGAAAUUCCUGUGGAUGC